UCGAGCGAACAGACGAGGAGCUUGCUCCUCUGACGUUAGCGGCGGACGGGUGAGUAACACGUGGAUAACCUACCUAUAAGACUGGGAUAACUUCGGGAAACCGGAGCUAAUACCGGAUAAUAUAUUGAACCGCAUGGUUCAAUAGUGAAAGACGGUUUUGCUGUCACUUAUAGAUGGAUCCGCGCCGCAUUAGCUAGUUGGUAAGGUAACGGCUUACCAAGGCAACGAUGCGUAGCCGACCUGAGAGGGUGAUCGGCCACACUGGAACUGAGACACGGUCCAGACUCCUACGGGAGGCAGCAGUAGGGAAUCUUCCGCAAUGGGCGAAAGCCUGACGGAGCAACGCCGCGUGAGUGAUGAAGGUCUUCGGAUCGUAAAACUCUGUUAUUAGGGAAGAACAAAUGUGUAAGUAACUAUGCACGUCUUGACGGUACCUAAUCAGAAAGCCACGGCUAACUACGUGCCAGCAGCCGCGGUAAUACGUAGGUGGCAAGCGUUAUCCGGAAUUAUUGGGCGUAAAGCGCGCGUAGGCGGUUUUUUAAGUCUGAUGUGAAAGCCCACGGCUCAACCGUGGAGGGUCAUUGGAAACUGGAAAACUUGAGUGCAGAAGAGGAAAGUGGAAUUCCAUGUGUAGCGGUGAAAUGCGCAGAGAUAUGGAGGAACACCAGUGGCGAAGGCGACUUUCUGGUCUGUAACUGACGCUGAUGUGCGAAAGCGUGGGGAUCAAACAGGAUUAGAUACCCUGGUAGUCCACGCCGUAAACGAUGAGUGCUAAGUGUUAGGGGGUUUCCGCCCCUUAGUGCUGCAGCUAACGCAUUAAGCACUCCGCCUGGGGAGUACGACCGCAAGGUUGAAACUCAAAGGAAUUGACGGGGACCCGCACAAGCGGUGGAGCAUGUGGUUUAAUUCGAAGCAACGCGAAGAACCUUACCAAUCUUGACAUCCUCUGACCCCUCUAGAGAUAGAGUUUUCCCCUUCGGGGGACAGAGUGACAGUGGUGCAUGAUGUCGUCAGCUCGUGUCGUGAGAAUGUUUGGGGUUAAGUCCCGCACGAGC
rnacentral:rRNA from 1 species